AGCGAACGCUGGCGGCAGGCCUAACACAUGCAAGUCGAACGGACCCUUCGGGGUUAGUGGCGGACGGGUGAGUAACACGUGGGAACGUGCCCUUUGGUUCGGAACAACUCAGGGAAACUUGAGCUAAUACCGAAUGUGCCCUUCGGGGGAAAGAUUUAUCGCCAUUGGAGCGGCCCGCGUCUGAUUAGCUAGUUGGUGGGGUAAUGGCCUACCAAGGCGACGAUCAGUAGCUGGUCUGAGAGGAUGAUCAGCCACAUUGGGACUGAGACACGGCCCAAACUCCUACGGGAGGCAGCAGUGGGGAAUCUUGCGCAAUGGGCGAAAGCCUGACGCAGCCAUGCCGCGUGAAUGAUGAAGGUCUUAGGAUUGUAAAAUCCUUUCACCGGGGACGAUAAUGACGGUACCCGGAGGAGAAGCCCCGGCUAACUUCGUGCCAGCCGCCGCUGUAACAC
rnacentral:rRNA from 1 species